AGAGUUUGAUCCUGGCUCAGAGCGAACGCUGGCGGCGUGCUUAACACAUGCAAGUCGAGUGCGCGUCUGUAGCAAUACAGAUGGCGCACGGCGCACGGGUGCGUAACACGUGGGUAAUCUGCCCUUCGAUGGGGAAUAACCUCGCGAAAGCGAGGCUAAUUCCGCAUAACAUUCCGAUGGUUCCGAUCAAUGGACUCAAAGCCGUAAGGCGUCGGAGGAGGAGCCCGCGCACGAUUAGCUAGUUGGUGAGGUAACGGCUCACCAAGGCUUUGAUCGUUAGCUGGUCUGAGAGGAUGGCCAGCCACACUGGAACUGAGACACGGUCCAGACUCCUACGGGAGGCAGCAGUGGGGAAUCUUGCACAAUGGGCGAAAGCCUGAUGCAGCGACGCCGCGUGGGGGAUGAAGCUUUUCGGAGUGUAAACCCCUUUCGACCCGGACGAAUGCCCCGCAAGGGGACUGACGGUACGGGUAUAAGAAGCCCCGGCUAACUACGUGCCAGCAGCCGCGGUAAGACGUAGGGGGCCAGCGUUGCUCGGAAUUACUGGGUGUAAAGGGUUCGUAGGCGGUGCGGCAAGUUGGGAGUGAAAUCUCUGGGCUCAACCCAGAGGCUGCUUCCAAAACUGCUGUGCUUGAGUGUGGGAGAGGCGCGUGGAAUUGCAGUGUAGCGGUGAAAUGCGUAGAUAUCUGCAGGAACACCCGUGGCGAAAGCGGCGCGCUGGACCACAACUGACGCUGAGGAACGAAAGCUAGGGGAGCAAACAGGAUUAGAUACCCUGUAGUCC
rnacentral:rRNA from 1 species